rnacentral:rRNA from 1 species
AUUGAACGCUGGCGGCAGGCCUAACACAUGCAAGUCGAACGAGUGGCGGACGGGUGAGUAAUGUAUGGGAAAAUGCCUGAUGGAGGGGGAUAACUACUGGAAACUGUAGCUAAUACCGCCUACCAUCGGAUGUGCCACGAUGGGAUUAGCUCGGAGGUGGGGUAACGGCUCACCUAGGCGACGAUCCCUAGCUGGUAUGAGAGGAUGACCAGCCACACGGGAACGGAGACACGGUCCAGACUCCUACGGGAGGCAGCAUGGGGGAAUAUUGCACAAUGGGCGCAAGCCUGAUGCAGCCAUGCCGCGUGUAUGAAGAAGGCCUUCGGGUUGUAAAGUACUUUCAGCGGGGAGGCGUUACCCGCAUAAGAAGCACCGGCUAACGCCGUGCCAGCAGCCGCGGUAAUAC